GAUUACGGCGGGCGCUGCGUGUGGCCGUCAGGCCCUCCGGCUUUCUCUUUUUUGUCCGGGAGUUCCAAGCACGCAUCGCCCGCCACCCUC
rnacentral:antisense_RNA from 1 species